rnacentral:piRNA from 1 species
UCAGACCUGUGGAGCUGAUUAUAAUGGC